ACUUUAAUAUCCCAUUACAAAACUAACAAUACAGAAGGAAAAUUUAACGUGCCAGUGACAGAAGAUAAUUUCUGGAAGAAGUAAAAAGCAGCUGGUUGAAUUUAGAUGUCCCGACAUAGUAUCUAUUGUUCUUAAAAUCCAUUGUAGAGAUGAUUCAAGACAGGUGGAAAAGCUUCAACUCCCAUCUUUAAGCAUCAUUCAAGAUUUAUGGCAUUAUACUACAAAAUGUCAUUCACUAGGAUACGCAAAAGUAUUCCUUUCCUGUCAUUGUACCCGAUAUGGCUAAAACUUAUAUCACAUUCAGAUGCCUCAGGCUAUUAAUUAUGGUUAGAGAUCUCUGGGUUGAGUAGAAUUCUAGCAUGUUAUUCAUAGAAAGAACAACAGGAUUGGUAAUCAAGCAAUCGAAGAGCAACAAGCAUUCAAAACAGAGACAAAAAAUGUAAAAUUAAAAGAAGCGGGUCUCAAACGUAGCACUUGAAAUCUAAAAUAUCAUAGAAAGUAAAGGGUCAAUUUCACUUUCAACAUCCCAUAUGAAGAUCUUAUGAUCGGAAUGCAGUGUUGUUUAAAGAACCAAUAUAUGGAAUCUCAUAUAAAUCAGCAAUGCAAAUACAAAUGCCCAAAACAAAUCUAAAACAUUCCAAAUAUUGUUCUAGAAGCACAAAUUCUUCAUCAUAACAACAACAACAACAAAGCCUUUUCCCACUAAGUGGGGUCGGCUAUAUGAAUCCUAGAACGCCAUUGCGCUCGGUUUUGCACAUGUCCAAACCCAUUUUGUGUACGUGUUGAUGCUUCACCGCCCAACAUUCUGUGCCAUACAUCAUCGCCGGCCUUAUUGCCGUCCUAUAAAAUUUUCCCUUGAGCUUUAGUGGCCUACGACGGUCACACAACACACCGGAUGCGCUCUUCCACUUCAUCCAUCCAGCUUGUAUUCUAUGGUUGAGAUCUCCAUCUAAUUCUCCGUUCUUUUGCAAGAUAGAUCCUAGGUAGCGAAAACGGUCACUCUUUGGUAUUACCUGAUCUCCGAUCCUCGCCCCUAACUCAUUUUGGCCUCCAUUUGCACUGAGCUUGCACUCCAUAUAUUCUGUCUUUGAUCGGCUUAGGCGAAGACCUUUAGAUUCCAACACUUCUCUCCAAAGGUUAAGCUUCGCAUUUACCCCUCCUGAGUUUCAUCUAUCAACACUAUAUCAUUUGCGAGAAUCAUACACCAAGGAAUAUCAUCUUGAAUAUGUCCUGUUAACUCAUCCAUUACCAACGCAAAAGGGUAAGGACUUAAGGAUUGUUGAUGCACAAAAUCAGUGAGGACUUUGGUAUAACAGAAAGUAUUAAGUUAUUGCUCUGGUCAUUAGUGUGGAUAAGUAUGUAAAAGGAUAAAGACAGGAAAGCAAACAUAAGAUGUACGUGGUUCACCCAGAUUGGCUACGUCCACGGAGUAGAUGAGUUCUUAUUAAUUGUGAAGGGUUACACAAGUACAUAGGUUCAAGCUCUCCUUUAAUGAGUACAAAUGAAUGAUUUAGUACAAAUGACAUUAGGAAAUAUUGUGGGAGAAUGAUCUCGUAAUCACGAAACUUCUAAGUACCAAAGUGUGGUAUCGUUUUCACUUGCCUUAUCUGUCUCAUAGGUAGAUGUGGCAUCUUCUCUGGAAGUACUCUUCCUCCAUCCAGGGGUGGUAUCUUUAACUAGUGGAGAUGCAUAAGGUAAUGUAUCAAUUUCACUUGAAGCUUACUUGUAGUUUCAGGCUUGGUCAAGUGCGAUACAAACCAUGUAGUAGGAGUCCCCCAAGUCGCCGAACUAGGGGAUUUGCUGAAAGAUGUGACAGACAAGGUAAGCAAUCAGAGCUUCAAGCAAUCAGUCCCAGAUCAGAAGUUUGAUUUCGAGUUCCGGCUGAUUGUUCUCAUUUUCCCUAUCUUGCAGGCAACAUGAAUGAUAAAGAGAAGAAAAGGAGAAUAGAUGAUAUGAGAUACUUUUGCUUUUGAAGAAGUAACUUUCCACAGGCUUAUUCUUGAACUGGGCGGUAGGGUUUUUUGGUUUCCUUCAGAGUAUAAGGCCGACUGAAGAAUUUGAGGGUCAAAACAAGUCCAUCAAAUCUAGAGUACGUUCGACCCUGCUGAUAUGAGAUACUUUUACUGUUGAUAAAGUAGUGGAUGUAUCGGCACGCGUUCUGUUACGCUUGUCUCCACAUGCUUCUUUGUAUCCUUUUCACUUUCCCUAUCGGUUCUUCAGACAGAUGUGGUAUCUUCUCUAGAAGCAUAAGAUGUUGAAGAUGAGUACUCGAGAGUAAUGCCAGGUAAGUAAUCAGGUAAGGGGUUCCAGGCAGUCAGUUCCUGACUGGAAGCUUGAUUCCAAGUGCUGAUUGAUUGCUCUCUUUCUCCUUGUCUUGCAGGUAAGAACAAGGCCAAAGGAAAAGACAGGGAAAAAGCAUGAUAUGGGAUACCCUUGCUUUUAACCCUAAUGAUAUGAGAUAUUCUUGCUCUGGUGUAGCUUGUUUACAGAGGUAUUAUCGGGGGGAAAGAAAGCUGAGUAUUUCGAGAGGCUUCGUUGGGAGUGCCCUCUCAGAUAUGAGGAAGGGUUAAGCAUUUUGCAGGUCUGCCUGUCCGUUGAGGAUGGAGGUCGACAUAUAUAGGAGUCUCCCUAACAACAAGUAGUAAUGCUAUUCCUUUACCUUGCUUGGUCAUAGCAUGGUAGUGGGAGCUGCCAGCUUCACGUGUGUCAGAGCACUUUGAAAAAGUGGUCUGUGGUAUCUGGAAAGCUGAUGUUACGUGUGAAGAUUACAGACAAGCUUUAUCCAAGAAGAUCUGGCUCCCGAAGUUGAGAAAGCGGUGCCUCUUCGGUUUUCGAACAAGCAAUUCUGUCGGGGAUUUGGCUCUUGAGAUUCGGAGAAUGGUGCCUCUUCAAUUUUUGAGAGAGCAAUCCUGCUAGGAGUUUGGCUCUCGAGAUUCGGAGAGCGGUGUCUCUUCGGUUUUUGAGAAAUUAAUCAUGUUGGGAGUCUGGCUCUCGAGAUUCGGAGAACGAUGCCUCUUCGAUUUUGGAGCAAGCAAUCUUGUUGGGAGUGUUUUCUCGAAAGUGAGUAAAGGUAGGGCAUGUUUGCUAGUCUACCUUGCCACGGAGCACAGAGGUUGACACACAGAGGUUGACACACAGGGACUUUCCAAAGAUCUUGAUUUGUCCGACCUUUUCUUUCUUCAACACCUUUGAAAAUGUCUGGCCCCUCCGACCGUCGUUUUGACUUGAACCUUGUUGAAGAGGCAGCCAUGCCUUCUCCAGACAACAUAUGGCGCCCAUCCUUCUUAUCCCCUACUGGUCCUCUUACCGUUGGAGAUUCCGUGAUGAAGAAUGAUAUGACCGCUGCGGUGGUGGCCAGGAACCUUCUCACUCCCAAAGAUAACAGAUUAGUUUCCAAACGGUCUGAUGAAUUGGCUGUUAAAGAUUCUCUGGCUCUGAGUAUUCAGUGUGCAGGUUCUGUGUCUAAUAUGGCCUAACGCCUAUUUGCUCGAAUCCGCCAAGUUGAAUCAUUGGCGGCUGAAGUGAUGAGUCUCAAACAGGAGAUUAGAUGGCUCAAGCAUGAGAAUAAACAGUUGCACCGGCUCGCACAUAACUAUGCUACAAACAUGAAGAGGAAACUUGACCAGAUGAAAGAAUCUAAUGGUCAGGUUUUACUUGAUCAUCAGCGGUUUGUGGGUUUGUUCCAAAGACAUUUAUUGCCUUCGUCUUCUGGGGCUGUACAACAUAAUGAAGUUCCAAAUGAUCAACCUCCGAUGCCUCUUCCUUCUAGGGUUCUGUCCAGUACUGAGGCUUCGAAUGAUCCCCUCCGAUGCCUUCUCUUUCUGGGGCUCUACCGACUGCUGAGACUUCUCCUAAGCAACAUUUGUGAAGGCUCCCUCUUGUUUGUUUAUUUUGACUCAUGUAAAUGUACAUAUUUGUAACUUAUCAGAGAUAUCAAUAAAUAAGCUUUCAUUCAUUUCCAACGUAUUGUGCUAAAUACACCAAAGCUUUCUUCACUGAGUGGGGUCGGCUAUAUGAAUCUUAGAACCGCCAUUAUGCUCGGUCCUGUGUCAUGUCCUUCGUUAGAUCCAAAUACUCUAAGUCUUUUCUUAGAGUCUCUUCCAAAGUUUUCCUAGGUCUUCCUCUACCCCUUCGGCCCUGAACCUCUGUCCCGUAGUCGUAUCUUCUAACCGGAGCAUUAGUAGGCCUUCUUUGCACAUGUCCAAACCACCGUAACCGAUUUUCUCUCAACUUUCCUACAAUUUCGGCUACUCCUACUUUUCCUCGGAUAUCCUUAUUCUUAAUCUUAUCAUUUCUCGUGUGCCUACACAUCAAACGAAGCAUCCUCAUCUCCGCUACACCCAUUUUGUGUACGUGUUGAUGCUUCACCGCCCAACAUUCUGUGCCAUACAGCAUCGUUGGCCUUAUUGCAGUCCUAUAAAAUUUUCCCUUGAGCUUCAGUGGCAUACGGCGGUUACACAACACGCCGGAUGCACUCUUCCACUUCAUCCAUCCAGCUUGUAUUCUAUGGUUGAGAUCUCCAUCUAAUUCUCCGUUCUUUUGCAAGAUAGAUCCUAAGUAACGAAAACGAUCGCUCUUUGGUAUUUCCUGAUCUCUGAUCCUCACCCCUAACUCAUUUUGGCCUCCAUUUGCACUGAACUUGCACUCCAUAUAUUCUGUCUUUGAUCGGCUUAGGCGAAGACCUUUAGAUUCCAACACUUAUCUCCAAAGGUUAAGCUUCGCAUUUUCCCCUUCCUGAGUUUCAUCUAUCAACACUAUAUCGUCUGCGAAAAGCAUACACCAAGGAAUAUCAUCUUGAAUAUGUCCUGUUAACUCAUCCAUUACCAACGCAAAAAGGUAAGGACUUAAAGAUGAGCCUUGAUGUAAUCCUACAGUUAUGGGGAAGAUUUCGGUUUG
rnacentral:lncRNA from 1 species